CUGCUCUAUGGCAUGGCGUUGCCUUCAGGCAACAAACCACUGUUUUGGCCCACACACUUUCCUUUUAAAUUUUUUUCAAGUAAAAAAGAUACAAUACAUAUUCCAUGAUUAUCUGCGACCAAUAAAAUUUCACUUUGGAGAUCAUGUGACCUUUUUGUCUGCGAGUGAAACCAUCCAUUUUGGGACCAUAGCUGGCUUGGACGCACUACUCGCAGAAGGAGAUGAAUGCAAAAACAUUUUAUGGGUACAAGAAACUUGACCAAGCAGUUAGGGCCAUUCCUUCUGACAGUGAGCUUGAUGAGAGUGACAGCAAGGCAGAAUGGACCCCAGAAUCAGAUGGCCUGACUGAUGAAACUGAAUCCGUGACAAUGGAGAUGAUUUAUCAAGGGAAAAUGUAAAAUUUUCACCAAAGUGCAGAGUAUCCUACGGUUCUAACAUCACUGAUUAUCCAGAAUGGAAGGGCUGGCUUCCAAAAUCAGACAUCAUGUCCCCCUAUGAGUACUUCAAGAUGUUUUUUUCUGAAGACAUUUUGGAAGUAGUUGUAGAUCAAUCAGAAUUAUAUGCCCUUCAGUGUGACAUCACCAAGCCCCUCAAACUUACUACUAAUGAACUAGAGCAGUUCUUUGGUACAACAAUAUACAUGUCAUUGUUUGGAUUACCAGGCACGGAUGUUUUGGAACAAAGCAACCCGAGUGCCCCAGGUAGCUGACACCAUGUCACUGAACAGAUGGGAGUUCAUCAAAAAAUCUCUGCACUUCAACAAUAAUCAAAUGAGACAAGAAGAAAAUGUUUAUCCACUCCACAAAAUCUGACCACUAGUCACUCAUCUUACCUCAAAGCUGCAAACAAUUCCAAUGGGUGAGAAGCUGGCUAUAGAUGAGCAGAUGGUCCCUUUCAAGGGAAAAAAUAGGCUAAAGCAAUAUCUCCCGGCAAAACCGAAGAAAUGGAGCUACAAGAUAUUCAUCCUGGCAGGAUCUGAUGGUGUUCCACACAAUUUUGAGGUUUAUACAGGGAAAGCUGUGCAACCUGCUGACUUGCCAGAUAUAGGUGUAAGUGGCAACACUGUUCUCCGCCUUGCCCAGAGAGUACCCACACAGCAGAACUACAAGAUUUUCCUUGACAACUGGUUCACUAGUGUGUCUCUCAUGAAAAAACACUUGCUCAGCAAGGAAUUCACUGUACUGGGACUGUUCGUAGCAACAGACUACCAGGUGUCAACUUCA